AGCCGAAAUUGUGGUGUGUGUUGGAAAACAGCAGCAAGUACUUAUUCCUUGGACACCUUGUCCUCAGCUAAGGCAUUUGCUAGGCACCCGUAGGAAUAUAUGCUUGAGAAAUAGGCGAAACUACUUGCGAACACGUGCACCGACCAAGGCUGCUGUAUGCCCUGCAGUGCAUAUAAACACAUGGUGGGAGUGAGCUCAGGGUGAAAAGAUGUGUUAAGAAACACAUUAUAUCAACCACAUCCGCCCUUCCACACAUUCUGGGAAAAUGACAGUUUAUGCUUUCAAUGUUGCCGUUUCCAAAGAACCGUGAUUUAGUGUCUCAUAUAAAAGUACAGCAGGCAAGCUGGAUCCAUUUCAAAUUUACUAGUAAAAUUAAAAUUAGUUCUUUGAAAAUUGAAAAACUUUCAGCCAAGAGAUUCAUUCUGGUUUCAUGACAUUUGUAAAAUUGUUCUAUGUUUAAGGUUUUAGGUAUUGAAAACAUCUGUCCUAUUUCCUAAGGUAAAACUCAAUGCUAAAAGGAAUGACAGUGAAAAAAGGUGACUGAUGAGCUUUUGAAUUUCAACUCUCUUUACUACUUGGAGUCUGGAAAUAGCUUGUGAUAGGCAGAAUAUGGAUCCCCCAAAGAUGUCCACGUCCUAAUCCCUGCAAUUUGUGAAUAUGUUGCUUUUGUAAGGAACUUUGCAGAUGUGAUUAAAUUAAGAAUCUUGAGAUGGGAAGAUUAUCUUGGAUUAUUUUAGUGGGCCUAAAUGAAUCACACAAAUCUUCAAAAUCAGACAACCUUUUCUUGCCAUAGUUGGAAGGCGAUAUUCCUGCAGAAGAAAAGUUAAAAAGAUGCAACUUUGCUGGCUUUGAAAAUGGAGAAUAGGCCAUAAACAAAGGAAUGGAGCAGCUGCAAGGAGCUAAAAGACAAAGAAAUAGAUUUCCCCCUAGAACCUCCAGAAAGGAAUGCAGCCCAGCUGAUGCCCUGAUUUUAGUCCAGUGCAACCUGUGUUGGACUUCUAACUUCAAGAACUGUAAGGAUGGUAGGACCUACAGAUUCUUGAUUAGAUUAUAGAUGCAAAAAAAGAACCUGGAAUUAUUCCCCAAGAAGCUCCUUCUUCUGAAACCAAGAGGGGACUACAUGAUUCUAUCUGAUGACAACCAGUCAGUGAUCUCAGGUAUAAAAUGCAAUGUCCUAUUGUAACAAUGGCUGGCAUUACACCCAACAUCUAGAAGAAAAAAAACAAUGAUGUCAGAAGGCAGUCAUCUGGAGUGAAUAAAAGGCAAGAGGCUUAUUGCAAAUUCUAAUGCACUUCAUCAUAGAAUUUUAAUUAACUAUUCCAUUCACACCAAUUGGGGACUAUUAAAGCAGUCGUUUCUGAGAAGCAAUCUUUGGGAAAUUCAGGUAAAAAAAGACAACUUCUGUCUUCUGGAACAAUAAGGUUAUGACUUCCUACACCUAAUAAAAGGUGACUAUAUAGCCAGGCGUGGUGGCACGCGCCUGUAAUUCCAGCUACUCAGAAGGCUGAGGAAUGAGAAUCGCUUGAACCCGGGAGGUGGAGGUUGCAGUGAGUAGAGAUCGCACCACUGCACUCAAGCCUAGAUGACAGUGAGACUCUGUCCCCCACUCCCCCCACAAAAGUUAUCAUGCAGGAUCUGCCCUGGGAUAUAGUUUAAUUAUGUAACAUAGUCUGAAAAUAAGCAAAUUACUUAUAUACAUGCUUUGAUCUUUCUCUAUCUGAGGAAUGGGAAGAACAUAGUUUACCUCUCUAGAAGUCGCUUCUGAGAAUUGUGGUCCAUGCUCCAUUCUGAAUCCACAAGGAAAGGCCUUCACACUAUACAUGGCAAUUGCCAUUAGAUAUUGUCUUCUGGUUAUGGCGCAAUGGGCUGAUUGCCUUAGUUAUGUCAGAAAGGUGUUUGAAGAGCCUAUUGUGACUUGCCUGGUUUUAAAGGCUUGAGUUAUAACUGGCUAAUAAUACACAUUGAUACUGUCUGCAGCUUUUAACAAGUGUUUUUUGUUUGUGCUUAAUACUUAUCAGAUGACUAGGUAAUUUUUGAGGUUGACUCACCAGGGCAUUUGGUUUCAUGGGUCAUUAGGGACCUGAAUUACAGGCCCUUCACAACACUUAGCAAGUGAAUCAUACUGAACAAUAGAAUCUCUUUUAACCUUUGUCUUUUUAAAAAUUAAAUGAUAAUAAAUCAUUCGACCCUACAUUAAAUCUUCUCCUCUCC
rnacentral:lncRNA from 1 species